ACAGACAGACAGACAGACAGAGCGCAAACUGCAAGAGGUUGAAAUGUGCUCGGUUCCAUUUUCUUCUCAGUCUUCAUAUCACCAUGAAAGGACGAUUCAGUCUCUUCUCAACAAAGCGGAGCUGCAUUUAAAUAUGUUUUGCUGGUUAUCAUUUCCAACAUAAUUUCGACAGAUGGUUUCCUGGGAGUUUUUUUGCGCAAUUGGUGCAAAUGUCUCAUCAUCAUUCUGCUUGUCAGCUGUUGUUGAAUGUGAAAGGAUCCAAACUUGAGCUGGAAAUGGAUUCUUCGAAACGAGCUCCUGUCAUGGAGAGAAAAAACGAGCUCCAUCACAUGAUGGACGACGUGCGUCGGUGGUUCAAAGACAGUCAUCAGUCAGUCUGCGGGGCAGAGGAUGUUCGGCAACAGAAAAAACUCCAUGUCUCAACAUAAUACAGCAAUCCGCAAGAGGAGAUGCAGGUAAUAAAAGGGUUAAUUACAGUUUUUUGACAAAAAUUAGGUCUCUGAAAAAAAAUCUUAAAUUUUAUGUUGGUAUUGUUUCGAAGUAAUGCAUAAUCUGAGCUAUAUUUGUCACAAAUUGGAUGCUCUUGGUGAAUCUGGCAGCUUCCUGCAGAUGCAUUUUAAUCUGCAACAGGCAAUUAAGCCUUUGUCCAAUUAAAAAAAAUCUCUAAAUUGACUCUUCACCUUUUAAAUACAUGUCUUAACGAGUGAGAUUGAUUAAUUUGUGCCAUUGUUAAAUCGAUCUGAAGACAAGGAUUGAUGUAUAAUCAUAUUGGUUUCAUAUUUUAAUGCAAAUAUUAAUUAAGGGUCAAUAAAUAAAGACCUAAAACAGCUCUUUGUGGGUUGACCAAUCACUGCUCCAUAGCAGCAUGGCCUUAAAAGAAAAAGGAAAGCACAGCACACCCACAUCUCAGUCAGAGUCUCGGCCUAAAGUUGUGGCACAGUGACUCAACUUCUGCAUUACUGUGCAUCUACGCAGAAACUAGCUAUAAGAAAUUAUAAAGUUUUAGUCAUUGUUGGGAAGAAAGAUUUGACUAUGUGUUGGUAAAGCAGCUCUGUCUGUCUAAUCAGGAAGUGACAGGCUGCUCUCACCUGUUUCUCUGCAGUGGAGUGGCCAUCUUGAAUGUUUUCUAUGAUAGCAGCAAUGCUAGGCUAUUCCACAUUUACAUGUUAUAUUCUAUUGAAAUUGUAUCUAAAGUACAUAGUUUACGUUUUCAUGACUUAUUUGAUUGCUUUUCUGCCAAUUCUUCAUGUUACAUUGACAGUUUGCUCUCUCUCUACAUACUACAGCCUGUGGUGCAGUUGGGACACUUUUCUAAGGAAGUGUACACCCUUGAGGAUACUGCAGUUCAAACAAUAACUAUAUAAAUGUAGACAAACCUAAAACAAUGUAGUAUUUUACGGAGUUCUUCCGUUCGUGAGUACUAAAACAAGCAAUACAUUCCCUCUCUUAACAUGUCAGGGCCAGACAGCUGCCUCCCUGCUCAGCUAUGGCUCCCCCUAGCCGUGCCUCCAUAUUUCCUUGUUAAUGCACACCAUAAUGCCCUGACCCACCCUGCUUUAUCACACAGCAAUGACACCAAAAUACCUCAAAACCUCACUUUCUCUGUCUAAAUGUGAAGUAUAUAGUCUCCAUCUGCCGUCCAGCCAACAUUGGGCACCAUUGGCCACAGCAGAAGAGAGGAUUUCUUACCUUUUGACAGUGUCUAUGGCUAUGCCUUCCUCUUCAAAGUCCCAACAUCGACAGCCUCCUUCUUCUUCCCAGCAAUCCCUGCAAAAAAGGACACUUCCAUGUAUGUUGAAUAUGUAGGGGUGAUCAAAUUGGACUAAACUAAUUCUAAAGAGCCCAGAGGGCCCCUAAAACCCAGACAUUGCCCAUUUGUCCCCAAAUAUCAUCAAGCUCCAAAUUGACAUUUUAAAAUGACAUGCCAAUGACAUAAAAGAGUAAAGCCCACUCCUCAAAUACAUGAUGUCCCACCCCUAUGGUUUCAACUUAUUUUGGUCCAUCCAGUAGUCAUACAGUUGAUACUGAAGAACAAUUGUCAGUUAGUGCGCAGCUGAACUCUCAUGCGCUUUCUACUGCCUUUUGUGCGUUUGCCAAGCCCUGGAGCAUCUUUGGGAGGCUACAAUAGUCCAUUGGUGGUAUUUAUGAGUCAAAGAGACCCUUUUCUUCUGGACUUGACCAUAAAAACUGGAAGGAAAAUAUUUUCAUCUGCGUAGAAUCUAACCAGGCAAAGAGAGAGCUAUGGAUCCAAAUGGACCUCUCCAAAAGUGCACAGGUGCAUCCAAAGGCACAGAAAACUCUCAUAUGGCUUCAGGAGAAAAAAAGAAGAAGUUUGUCCGACUUAAAGGGUAAUUAUGAUAGUAAUUAUCUUUAGAUUUGACCAAUAGUUCUCAACCAUUAAAGCUACACUCAAAGAUUCUCAAAUUUAAAGUACAUUUGAAAGCUAGCAUCGAGAAAAACUUACCAAAUGGCGCAGCUGGCACUUCAGACCGUAACGUUCUAAAUAUUUAAAUAUUUUCACAUAUUUAAAUAUAUAACUUGCUUAAAUAUGUUUGUGUUAAUACUGACAUCACUGUAGCAUAUAGCUCACAAAUUGAAACCGUCUAUCUGAGCAACAGUAGCAACCAAGCAGACGAGAACCGGAGCUAUCAACGCACCAAUUCAGUGCGCCAAAGAAGCCCUAGUCUGGUUCUUCAUCCAGGCCUGAAUAAGCAACAAUUUAGUCCUGAAGCACAAAAAAAGAUAUGGUCCAAAAUCCUUGCAGACAGAUAAAAUGGAUUAUUAGGAGGGGGAAAGACUGCGCCGGCAGUUGAAGCUGUUUUCCCCAAAAUAAACUCCUAUGCAAAUUAUGUUGGCAGCUUCCAGCAAAGCGUUAAAGGACAAUCCUGUUCCCUUCAAAGCAUUACUGAUGCCUGUGAUGUUUACGUCGUACAUUACAACAGCACAUAGGCACAAAUAUGAUGGGCGUUUGCCUCGUUGCGUGUCCAGACCUGAGCUUCUAGCAGGUUAAAGACCCCGCAUCCCCUCACUGAGAUACUAAGCCUCAGGCAACAGCAACACAAGAGAAGCCCUGUCCUAUCUUCGGUUUAGCCUAGUGGAAGAAAAAAUAUAUGGACGGGUGUCCGUUAGAAAUAAUAAUACCUUCUUUAUCUGCUCAGAAAUGACCGUCCAUAUCAACGCUCCGUCUUGCUGGGAAAAGCAGACGCAUGUGUAGCUCUUUAUUCAGUAGGCUGGCUACCAAAGCACAGCCGGAGCUCUGGACGGACGGACGCACGCACGCCUGUCCUCAUUGUGCAUUUGCCGCAGCAGCUGUCAAACAGAUCAUAUUUCACACUCAAGUCACAGUGCGAUUAACACUCACAGGUCCUAUAGGCCUACAUAUGAUGCUGUAAUAACCACACUUGUGCAACAUCAGCUGUGCAUCGGUUGGUGGUCAAAAUGCGUAAUAUUUAGGCUGCAGGGUGACAACAGCUUCUGUGGCAAGACGGUCUUGCUUUUUUAGCGCUCUGUUGACUGUUUGAAAGCCGCAUUAAUUAUGUCUGGCAGUAAGUGUGAACAAAACAAGAAGCGCAGUACUGUGAGUACAAAUCAGCUGCAAUGAUUCCUGUUAAUAUCGGUAAUAUUUCGUGUUUAUCAUUUUAUGUGAUUUGGAUUGCAUAUUCUCUUAUUGAAUUUAUCUGAAUAAAACAAUUAUUUGAGCAUA